GAUGGGGUGGUUUUUGCCGACACUACCACUUUUCCUGGGUACAAAAAUUCUAUAAAAUACCAGCAUUACGUUUAAGUUGACAGAAAAACGGAAAUAUUUAAAUUGAAAGGGACCUGAAGCCAAGAAUAAUCAUUAUUGGCGGAUGGAGUAGCCAAUACGUUAUUUCUCUCCCAGAGGCCUAAACCUACAACCGUAGCAAGCUAAUCCUCCCAGUUGCCCCUAACUAUCCCUACCCACUCACAAUAAUUUCACCCCAAUCACUUACCUUAUAAACUUAGAAGGUCUCCAUAUUGGUGAUCUGGACUAUCGGGUCAUUACAUAACAUUCAUUUUGAAGAAGAGUAGCGAAGGUUUUCAGUCUGUCCGUUAUCUGUCCUCGUUCGGUAUUUCGAAAUUAUGCUAAUGUUAGUGCUAAUCUGCCGAAGAAGUCCUCCGUUGAGUGAAGCUGGCGAAAUUAGUUAGUGGUGUUGGCUUAAGUCAAUUUGGAUUUUAUUUA